rnacentral:rRNA from 1 species
UGGCGAAGAGGUCACACCCGUUCCCAUUCCGAACACGGAAGUUAAGCUCUUCAGCGCCGAUGGUAGUUGGGGGUCUCCCCCUGUGAGAGUAGGACGUUGCCAGGC